GCAUAUCAUUAGCGGAGGAAAAGAAACCCACAGGGAUGCCUCAGUAACGGCGAGUGAAGCGGCAAAAGCUCGAAUUUGAAAUCAAGUUUUCUUGAAUUGUAAUUUGAAGAAGCGUCGCAAGGUGGAGUGGAUAGUGCAAGUGCCUUGGAACAGGCCGCCAAGGAGGGUGAGAGCCCCGUGACACUACCACCCGACACCGUCAGCGAUGCCUCGAAGAGUCGAGUUGUUUGGGAAUGCAGCUCUAAGCGGGUGGUAUAUUCCAUCUAAGGCUAAAUAUUGGCGAAGAGACCGAUAGCAAACAAGUACAGUGAUGGAAAGAUGAAAAGAACUUUGAAAAGAGAGUGAAAUAGUACGUGAAAUUGUUGAAAGGGAAGGGUAUUUGAUCCGACAGACCUUUUAAGGUGGUGCCAGCAUCGGUUGGCGAAGAAGGAUAAAGGUGUGGCAAUGUGCCCCUUCGGGGAGUUAUAGGCCGCGCACAGACUUCUCUUGGCGACCGAGGACUGCGGAAGUAGUGUUUACUGCUUCCAAGGAUGCUGGCAGAACGAGCAAAUACCGCCCGUCUUGAAACAUGGACCAAGGAGACUAACGUUUAUGCGAGUGUUUGGGUGAGUAAAACCCAAUACGCGGAAUGAAAGUGAACGCAGGUCCGAGCGCUGUGAAGGCGUGCAGGACCGACCGAUCCGGCGGUGGCCGGAUUUGAGUAAGAGCAUAGCUGUUGGGACCCCGAAAGAUGGUGAACUAUGCCUGAAUAGGGCGAAGCCAGAGGAAACUCUGGUGGAGGCUCGCAGCGGUUCUGACGUGCAAAUCGAUCGUCGAAUUUGGGUAUAGGGGCGAAAGACUAAUCGAACUCAUUCUAGUAGCUGGUUCCUGCUGAG
rnacentral:rRNA from 1 species